GGUAGGGAAAGGGUGGGGGAAGGAAUUCGCACAUACGCACCGGCCUGACACCGUCCCCGGUCGGACGCUGUCGAACAGGAGGGUACAGGCUUUGGCCAGCCUAAAAAAAAAAAAAAUGGAACCGGUGAAGCAGACGCUCCGAGCGAGGACAAGAAAAUGGGCAGAGAUUUGGAAAAAAAGAAGAGAGAUGCCAAAAAAAGGGGAAACAAUAUGGACUUGUCCAUGAAGUUACCAACAUUCAGGCCUGAAUUAGGAGAAGAUUAACUAAUUCUUCUACGCUGUUUGUUUUGCACUGGAAAUCUUUGGAUUAAAAGCUGCACCACAGAAGCACCAAUCAUUUACAUAGCUGAACAUGCUGUUGGAAAUGCCUGUACUUUCCUCAAAGGACACUGCAGUCUGUCAUAACAGGCAGAGGAAUAGCAACAUAAAGCAAGAUGUCUUAGCAAAAACAAAAAAUUUUCCUGAGUAUUCCUCAGUUCCCUGGAAGUUUUUCUAUACAAGUAUUGAAAUGAGUAAAUGCUAUGCAGAAAAGAAACUCAUGUUAAUUUCAAACAUUGGGGAUCAGAAGCAGAGGUGAAGGGACUAGAUUUGUGGCUUUUAAAAGAGAUUUGGCAAAG